GUGCACAUGUGUGUGCUUGCGUGCAUACAUGUGUAUAUGUGUGUGCGUGAGCCAUGUGCACAUGUGUGUGUGUGUGUGUGUGUGUGUGUGUGUAUGUGUGUGUGUGUGUGUGCAUGUGUGGGUAUGGAGGCCAGAGGUUGAGAUCAGUACCCCUCUUAAUGCCUGUCUGCCUUAUUUUUUUGAGAUGGGUCUCUUACAGAAUCUGGGGCUAUGGAUUCAGUUGGACUGACUGGCUAAUGAGCUAUCAAGAUCUGCCCAUCUCUAAGCCACCCAGCACCCUACCCAGCACUUGUGUUACUGGUGCACACUACCGCUGGGUUCUGAACUCAGGUCCUUAAGCUUCGGCACCGGUACUUCCGCAACUGAGCCAAAGCCUCAACCCCUCCUGGUCUCGGUUUUCAAUUGUUAAAAUCCAGUACUAUGUGCCCUCCAACUUUGUUCUCUUACCUUUAGUGCUGUGUUGGCCCCCUUGGGUCUUUGGGCACUCCAUAUAAACUUUAGAGUCUGUUUACUGAUGUUCAAACUGUUGAGUUUUUUUUUUUUUUUUUUUUUGCUAAGAAUUUGUUUGGGAGAACACAGCCUUCCAUCGCCUUACCGUUGCAGGUUUUAUUCUUUGAACUCAUCUGUGAGGCAGAAUUUUCCCUUUCACUGGAACUGGAGUUGAUUUCAUCUCCUUUCCCUGAUUUGCCCACUGAUAUGGAAACAUCUGAUCUCUUCCUCCCUGACAUGAAGACAACGAAACUCUGGAC
rnacentral:lncRNA from 1 species